rnacentral:rRNA from 1 species
AAAAAAGGUAAGCUACUAAGAGCGAAUGGUGGAUGCCUUGACUGGUAAAGGCGAUGAAGGACGUACUAGACUGCGAUAAGCUACGGGGAGCUGUCAAGAAGCUUUGAUCCGUAGAUUUCCGAAUGGGGCAACCCAAUGUAUAGAGAUAUACAUUACCUAUAUAGGAGCGAACGAGGGGAAUUGAAACAUCUUAGUACUCUCAGGAAAAGAAAUCAAUAGAGAUUGCGUCAGUAGCGGCGAGCGAAAGCGCAAGAGGGCAAACCCAGUGCUUGCACUGGGGGUUGUAGGACUGCAAUGUGCAAGAGGUAAGUUUAGCAGAACAUUCUGGAAAGUAUAACCAUAGAGGGUGAUAGUCCCGUAUGCGAAAAACAAACCUUAGCUAGCAGUAUCCUGAGUAGGGCGGGACACGAGGAAUCCUGUCUGAAUCCGGGUCGACCACGAUCCAACCCUAAAUACUAAUACCAGAUCGAUAGUGCACAAGUACCGUGAGGGAAAGGUGAAAAGAACUGAGGUGAUCAGAGUGAAAUAGAACCUGAAACCAUUUGCUUACAAUCAUUCAGAGCCCUAUGUAGCAAUACAGGGUGAUGGACUGCCUUUUGCAUAAUGAGCCUGCGAGUUGUGGUGUCUGGCAAGGUUAAGCAAACGCGAAGCCGUAGCGAAAGCGAGUCUGAAUAGGGCGCUUAGUCAGAUGCUGCAGACCCGAAACGAAGUGAUCUAUCCAUGAGCAAGUUGAAGCUAGUGUAAGAACUAGUGGAGGACUGAACCCAUAGGCGUUGAAAAGCCCCGGGAUGACUUGUGGAUAGGGGUGAAAGGCCAAUCAAACUUCGUGAUAGCUGGUUCUCUCCGAAAUAUAUUUAGGUAUAGCGUUGUGUCGUAAUAUAAGGGGGUAGAGCACUGAAUGGGCUAGGGCAUACACCAAUGUACCAAACCCUAUCAAACUCCGAAUACCUUAUAUGUAAUCACAGCAGUCAGGCGGCGAGUGAUAAAAUCCGUCGUCAAGAGGGAAACAACCCAGACUACCAGCUAAGGUCCCUAAAUCUUACUUAAGUGGAAAACGAUGUGAAGUUACUUAAACAACCAGGAG